rnacentral:rRNA from 1 species
GACGAACGCUGGCGGCGUGCUUAACACAUGCAAGUCGAACGAUGAAGCCGGAGCUUGCUCUGGUGAAUUAGUGGCGAACGGGUGAGUAACACGUGAGUAACCUGCCCUUGACUCUGGGAUAACUGCGGGAAACUGUAGCUAAUACCGGAUACGACCCUCGGAGGCAUCUCCUGGGGGUGGAAAGAAUUUCGGUCAAGGAUGGACUCGCGGCCUAUCAGCUAGUUGGUGAGGUAAAGGCUCACCAAGGCGACGACGGGUAGCCGGCCUGAAAGGGUGACCGGCCACACUGGGACUGAGACACGGCCCAGACUCCUACGGGAGGCAGCAGUGGGGAAUAUUGCACAAUGGGCGCAAGCCUGAUGCAGCAACGCCGCGUGAGGGAUGACGGCCUUCGGGUUGUAAACCUCUUUUAGCAGGGAAGAAGCGAAAGUGACGGUACCUGCAGGAAAAGCACCGGCUAACUACGUGCCAGCCGCCGCAGUAA